rnacentral:lncRNA from 1 species
UGGAUUCAAUGAGAAAAAAAAAAGCAUUUGGAAGGAAAUGAAAUAAGAAACAUGGUGUUGGUGUCCCCAAAUUCUCGAAACCGGAUUUCCUCAAAGCUCGAAAUCUAGCAAUUGCUUCGUGUGACAGUCGUCGGCCCAGCCAUCUUUAAUUCUUGAGAUGAAUUGGGUCUUUAAUUCUUUUUUCUUGUUGCGUGAAUUGAGCUAUAAAGUGUUCCUUGAUGUUAUUAAUGAUUUAUAUGGUCUUUAUACCGAUGAUCCAUAUUCAUGUAAGAAUUCCUUUGAUUAAGAUGCUUAUGUUGACUGGAAAAUAUUUUGGUCAAAAUUCACCGUCUUCUGGAGCUAUUUGUACAUGUUUUCAUAACAAGUUUAUUCCACGGAUGAGAUAUAUGUAUACAGUAUAUUGAUCCAGUAAGAAAGGGAUGAAAGUAAAGUGCUAGGAUACCCAUUUAUAGAGUGCGGUGAUGAUUGCAUUACUCUAUGAGAUAUUUUUAUUGUAUCUACCGUGUUAUGGUUUGUUAACAUUAAUUUUGCUUGACAAUUGUAAAUGAGUAAUAGUUGGAGAUUGUCACAGGAGAUCAAUUUUCUUUCAAUGGUGUGAUGGCAGCCUGAUAUGGAAACGACCGUAAACAAUGCUUAAAGGAAAUGGUUAAGCGGAUGACCACCAAUAGGUAUUUUCGAAAUCAAAGGGGCUGAAAGGGUGUCGAAGGGAGAUCAAGUCUGCUCUUCAUUGGUUUUGGAUGUUCAACUGUUUAAGGAAGGGAAGUUCGACACAAUUAAGACUUUUUUCGGAAAUGGAAUGUAGUUUCUAAUUUAUGAUUUGACAUGUAUCAAAUGAAAAUUUCAUUCCAGAGAAUUUUUAUAAAAGACUUUCAAUUUACUUUUCUUCAA